rnacentral:rRNA from 1 species
ACUUCAGGACGGGGACAACAGUUGGAAACGACUGCUAAUACCCGAUAUGCCGCGAGGUGAAACCUAAUUGGCCUGAAGAAGAGCUUGCGUCUGAUUAGCUAGUUGGUGGGGUAAGAGCCUACCAAGGCGACGAUCAGUAGCUGGUCUGAGAGGAUGAGCAGCCACACUGGGACUGAGACACGGCCCAGACUCCUACGGGAGGCAGCAGUGGGGAAUUUUCCGCAAUGGGCGAAAGCCUGACGGAGCAACGCCGCGUGAGGGAGGAAGGUCUUUGGAUUGUAAACCUCUUUUCUCAAGGAAGAAGUUCUGACGGUACUUGAGGAAUCAGCCUCGGCUAACUCCGUGCCAGCAGCCGCGGUAAUACGGGGGAGGCAAGCGUUAUCCGGAAUUAUUGGGCGUAAAGCGUCCGCAGGUGGUCAGCCAAGUCUGCCGUCAAAUCAGGUUGCUUAACGACCUA